CCAACAAACCGCUCAACUUAUUUACUGUAAUUUAUCUUUGUUUUGCUUUUCUAUCAGCAGCUUAGUUAUCUUAGCUGUAGAGAGUAACAGUUAUACUGUGAAAACUUAUUUCAAUGUUGGAAGUCCUUUUGUUGAAAGUACCAGCACUGAGUCUAGUGUCUACAUCUGUUGCAGGCUCUGGAGAUGGAACCUUGCAUGCACGGAGCAUCAGCAGAUGCAAUGAGGUGGCAUCCUGGAACACCUCUGUUGGUGUGGCGGCUUGCUUGAAGUGGGCCCCUCGUUGGGCUAUGUUUGUCACCGCAUUUGUUUGGGUGAAAAGAUGAUAGUAAGAGACAUAACAUUGUUGUCAUCCAGGUAAAUUCUCUUUCUCGGUUUUCCUAUACGCUUCAGUGACAUCCACCUGUUUGGGUGAAUUUUUGGACUCCUAUUUUAUUUAUUUACACUAGUAGGUCAUUUUUGAAAAUAAGGGGUAGUUGUUCAUACAGAAAUUGUUUGCUGCAAUCAAAAUACAAAAAAUCAUCAUCAUCCUCCAUGGCAUGACCCAUCCACCUCCACAUGGCAUAAAUGUAUAUAUGGAGAUUCUUACAUGCAACCUGAACCAUCCAAAUCAUGAGGACUCUUUUAAAUCCUGGAUUUUAAAUCCUCAAAAGGUCCUCUUUUAAAAUUCAAGAGAAAAGGAGUGCAGAAAAUCCUGAAUUUUCAAUCCUUUUCAACUGUCAUCAUUGAAGAUUAUUGGUUGGUUCUUAUUUUAGUGCUCUUUUACAGUUUUAGUGCUCUUAUCUAUGAGCUGGAUUUCAUAAUGCAUUGAAGAUUAUUGGCUGGUUCUUGUUUUUCUUUUUACAGUUUUAGUGCUCUUUUACACAAUAAAACAAUGUUGGUCUUCUUGUGAGCAAAUCUCUGUAUCCUUAUAAAUUGUGUGUUGGUUAUUAG